rnacentral:rRNA from 1 species
CAGUAGCCGCGGUAAAACGAAGGGGGCUAGCGUUGCUCGGAAUGACUGGGCGUAAAGGGCGCGUAGGCGGCGAUCAAAGUCAGGCGUGAAAUUCCUGGGCUCAACCUGGGGGCUGCGCUUGAUACUUGGUUGCUUGAGUGGGGAAGAGGGUCGUGGAAUUCCCAGUGUAGAGGUGAAAUUCGUAGAUAUUGGGAAGAACACCGGUGGCGAAGGCGGCGACCUGGUCCUUGACUGACGCUGAGGCGCGAAAGCGUGGGGAGCAAACAGGAUUAGAUACCCCCGUAGUCCCUGUCUCUUAUAC